CAAUAGCGUAUACUAAAGUUGUUGCGAUUAAAAAGCUCGUAGUUGGAUCUCAGGCAUGGGCGCACGGAUCGCCUCGCGGCGGUCACUGUGUGUUUUGUUUCCCAUCCUACGCUUCCCGGUUAUCAGCCCAUGGUGCUCUUCACUGAGCGUUUUGGGUGGCCGGAACGUUUACUUUGAAGAAAUUAGAGUGUUCAAAGCAGGCACGUCGCCUGAAUAAUGGUGCAUGGAAUAAUGGAAUAGGACCUCGGUUCUAUUUUGCUGGUUUUCGGAACACGAGGUAAUGAUUAAGAGGGACAGACGGGGCAUCCGUAUUGCGGUGUUAGAGGUGAAAUUCUUGGAUCAUCGCAAGACGAACAACUGCGAAAGCAUUUGCCAAGCAUGUUUUCAUUAG
rnacentral:rRNA from 1 species